CCCCCGCCCGCCCCCCGCCCCCGCGGCAGCCGCGCCAGACGCAGCUCGGCUCGGAGCGCGCACGGAGCCUCCCGCAGCCGCCGCCGCCGCCGCCGCCUCCCGGGCAGCCCCGGGCAGCCCCCGCCAUGGCCCGGAACCGCAGGGAGAGGAGCGGCUGGGGUAGUUUUGCAGAGAAGACUUAUGAAUGGAGCUCGGAGGAGGAGGAGUCUGUGAGGAAGGCGGGACCGGUGCAAGUCCUCAUCGUCAAAGAUGACCAUUCCUUUGAACUGGACGAAGCCGCGCUGAACCGCAUCCUCCUCUCAGAGGCUGUCAGAGAUAAAGAGGUCGUGGCUGUGUCCGUUGCUGGAGCUUUUAGGAAAGGAAAGUCGUUCCUGAUGGACUUCAUGUUGCGGUACAUGUACAACAAGGAAGCUGUGGACUGGGUUGGAGAUUACAACGAGCCUCUGACUGGUUUCUCCUGGAGGGGAGGGUCUGAGCGAGAGACAACUGGCAUUCAGAUAUGGAGUGAGGUUUUCCUGGUGGACAAGCCUGAUGGUAAAAAGGUUGCAGUGCUGCUGAUGGACACACAGGGGACCUUUGACAGCCAGUCCACCCUGCGGGAUUCGGCCACCGUGUUUGCCCUGAGCACAAUGAUCAGCUCGAUACAGGUUUAUAACUUGUCCCAGAACGUGCAGGAGGAUGAUCUGCAGCACCUGCAGCUUUUCACUGAGUACGGACGGCUGGCCAUGGAGGAAACAUUCCUGAAACCUUUCCAGUCCCUUAUAUUCCUCGUGCGUGACUGGAGCUUCCCUUACGAGUUUUCCUAUGGAUCCGAUGGCGGCGCAAAGUUUUUGGAAAAACGUCUCAAGGUCUCAGGAAAUCAGCAUGAAGAACUGCAGAAUGUCAGAAAGCACAUCCACUCCUGCUUCACCAAGAUCUCCUGCUUCCUCUUACCUCACCCCGGCCUGAAGGUAGCCACCAACCCUAACUUCGAUGGAAAGCUGAAAGAAAUAGACGAUGAGUUCAUCAAGAACUUGAAGAUUUUGAUUCCUUGGCUUCUUAGUCCCGAGAGCCUGGACGUUAAGGAGAUCAAUGGAAACCAUAUCACCUGCCGAGGCCUUGUGGAGUAUUUUAAGGCGUACAUAAAGAUCUACCAAGGGGAAGAACUGCCGCACCCGAAGUCCAUGCUGCAGGCCACAGCAGAAGCCAACAAUUUAGCAGCAGUUGCCACUGCCAAAGACACCUACAGCAGGAGAAUGGAAGAGGUCUGUGGUGGGGACAAGCCCUUCCUUGCGCCUAGCGACCUGCAGAGCAAACACCUGGAGCUGAAGGACGAGGCCGUGAAGCUGUUCCGCGGGGUGAAGAAAAUGGGUGGGGAGGAGUUCAGCCGCCGCUACCUCCAGCAGCUGGAGACCGAGAUAGAUGAGCUCUACAUCCAGUACAUCAAGCACAACGACAGCAAGAACAUCUUCCACGCCGCCCGCACCCCCGCCACGCUCUUCGUGGUCAUCUUCAUCACUUACGUGAUAGCUGGAGUCACCGGCUUCAUUGGCUUGGACAUCAUAGCCAGUCUGUGCAACAUGAUCAUGGGCUUGACACUUAUCACACUGUGUACCUGGGCAUAUAUCAGAUACUCUGGGGAGUACAGAGAACUGGGCGCAGUAAUAGACCAAGUGGCCGCAGCGUUGUGGGACCAGGGAAGCACAAACGAGGCUUUGUACAAACUGUACAGCGCGGCCGCGACUCACAGACACUUGUACCACCACGCCUUCCCCGCACAGAAAGCGGAGCCCGCCGAGGGCUCGGAGAGGAAGAAGCUGUAGGCCGGACGAGCUCCCCUCGGCGCACGGAGGAGACGCGGCCGCUCACCGGUUAGACACUUCCAUCUGUUCGUGCGACAACAGUGUUCGAUGGGAAGAUGUAGGCAUGUUUUUUGUUCUGUUAAUAUGUACAUAUCGGCACUGCUGCGAAUACCAAGUGCUUUUAAUUUGCAAUAUCCGGCACACUUCCCAACUAAUUUAUGAAGCCUUAUUUUCCCCUUUUUAAUCACGAAGUCAUUAAAGCAAUUAUAAUUUAUGUGAUACUGCAACUAAAAACCUUCCAAACCUUAGCAUUAUUCAAAAUCAUCUUAUUUUCAAAUACUUGAACAAGUUAUAACAUGUAACCAAGGGUUUUCUUCAAUCAACUAAUUACAUCGACAUAAUUAAAAAUGUAUUAACUUGCUUUAUCAGAAACUGUAAGGACACCUGCUAUGGUAUGUUAACGAUAUUGUAAGGAACGCGUAUGUUUCCAUUCGUAACCGAUGCACAAAGUAUCACUUUGUAUAUGUAUUGGAGAAGGUUUCACUGUAUUUCUGUAUAUAUAUAUUCAUUACAGUGCAUAAAAGUGUGUUAAACAGUUCUAUUCUUUUAUCAUCAGAACGAUUAAAGUUUGCUUUUUGUUCCUAAGAA